rnacentral:rRNA from 1 species
AAAUUGACGGGGCCCGCACAAGCGGCGGAGCAUGCGGAUUAAUUCGAUGCAACGCGAAGAACCUUACCAAGGCUUGACAUACACCGGUAACGCCCAGAGAUGGGUGCCCCUUUGUGGUCGGUGGACAGGUGGUGCAUGGUUGUCGUCAGCUCGUGUCGUGAGAUGUUGGGUUAAGUCCCGCAACGAGCGCAACCCUCGUCCUAUGUUGCCAGCGGGUCAUGCCGGGGACUCAUGGGAGACUGCCGGGGUCAACUCGGAGGAAGUGGGGAUGACGUCAAAUCAUCAUGCCCCUUAUGUCUUGGGCUUCACGCAUGCUACAAUGGCCGGUACAAAGGGCUGCGAUACCGCGAGGUGGAGCGAAUCCCAGAAAGCCGGUCUCAGUUCGGAUUGGGGUCUGCAACUCGACCCCAUGAAGUCGGAGUCGCUAGUAAUCGCAGAUCAGCAACGCUGCGGUGAAUACGUUCCCGGGCCUU